UCUGAAACCCCGCAAGAAGGGGAGAAGCAGAGCAAAAUUAUCAGAUAAAAGAAGAAAAAGCCUUUCUUCCAAAGACCAGAUUGAGCAACUAUGCUUG
rnacentral:ribozyme from 1 species